rnacentral:rRNA from 1 species
CAGCAGCCGCGGUAAUACGGAAGGUUCGGGCGUUAUCCGGAUUUAUUGGGUUUAAAGGGAGCGUAGGCCGUUUGGUAAGCGUGUUGUGAAAUGUAGGAGCUCAACUUCUAGAUUGCAGCGCGAACUGUCAGACUUGAGUGCGCACAACGUAGGCGGAAUUCAUGGUGUAGCGGUGAAAUGCUUAGAUAUCAUGAAGAACUCCGAUUGCGAAGGCAGCUUACGGGAGCGCAACUGACGCUGAAGCUCGAAGGUGCGGGUAUCGAACAGGAUUAGAUACCCUGGUAGUCCGCACAAUAAACGAUGGAUGCCCGCUGUUAGCACCUAGUGUUAGCGGCUAAGCGAAAGCAUUAAGCAUCCCACCUGGGGAGUACGCCGGCAACGGUGAAACUCAAAGGAAUUGACGGGGGCCCGCACAAGCGGAGGAACAUGUGGUUUAAUUCGAUGAUACGCGAGGAACCUUACCCGGGCUUGAAUUGCAGAUGAACGAUUUAGAGAUAAUGAGGUCCUUCGGGACAUCUGCGAAGGUGCUGCAUGGUUGUCGUCAGCUCGUGCCGUGAGGUGUCGGCUUAAGUGCCAUAACGAGCGCAACCCCUUUCUUUAGUUGCCAUCAGGUUCUGCUGGGCACUCUGGAGAUACUGCCACCGUAAGGUGUGAGGAAGGUGGGGAUGACGUCAAAUCAGCACGGCCCUUACGUCCGGGGCUACACACGUGUUACAAUGGGUGGUACAGAUAGUUGGUCGUAUGCAAAUACGAUCUAAUCCUUAAAACCAUUCUCAGUUCGGACUGGGGUCUGCAACCCGACCCCACGAAGCUGGAUUCGCUAGUAAUCGCGCAUCAGCCAUGGCGCGGUGAAUACGUUCCCGGGCCUUGUACACACCGCCCGUCAAGCCAUGAAAGCCGGGGGUGCCUGAAGUUCGUGACCGUAAGGAUCGACCUAGGGCAAAACUGGUAAUUGGGGCUAAGUCGUAACAAGGUAGCCGU